rnacentral:rRNA from 1 species
GGUUAAGCGACUAAGCGUACACGGUGGAUGCCCUGGCAGUCAGAGGCGAUGAAGGACGUGCUAAUCUGCGAUAAGCGUCGGUAAGGUGAUAUGAACCGUUAUAACCGGCGAUUUCCGAAUGGGGAAACCCAGUGUGUUUCGACACACUAUCAUUAACUGAAUCCAUAGGUUAAUGAGGCGAACCGGGGGAACUGAAACAUCUAAGUACCCCGAGGAAAAGAAAUCAACCGAGAUUCCCCCAGUAGCGGCGAGCGAACGGGGAGCAGCCCAGAGCCUGAAUCAGUGUGUGUGUUAGUGGAAGCGUCUGGAAAGGCGCGCGAUACAGGGUGACAGCCCCGUACACAAAAAUGCACAUGCUGUGAGCUCGAUGAGUAGGGCGGGACACGUGGUAUCCUGUCUGAAUAUGGGGGGACCAUCCUCCAAGGCUAAAUACUCCUGACUGACCGAUAGUGAACCAGUACCGUGAGGGAAAGGCGAAAAGAACCCCGGCGAGGGGAGUGAAAAAGAACCUGAAACCGUGUACGUACAAGCAGUGGGAGCACGCUUAGGCGUGUGACUGCGUACCUUUUGUAUAAUGGGUCAGCGACUUAUAUUCUGUAGCAAGGUUAACCGAAUAGGGGAGCCGAAGGGAAACCGAGUCUUAACUGGGCGUUAAGUUGCAGGGUAUAGACCCGAAACCCGGUGAUCUAGCCAUGGGCAGGUUGAAGGUUGGGUAACACUAACUGGAGGACCGAACCGACUAAUGUUGAAAAAUUAGCGGAUGACUUGUGGCUGGGGGUGAAAGGCCAAUCAAACCGGGAGAUAGCUGGUUCUCCCCGAAAGCUAUUUAGGUAGCGCCUCGUGAAUUCAUCUCCGGGGGUAGAGCACUGUUUCGGCAAGGGGGUCAUCCCGACUUACCAACCCGAUGCAAACUGCGAAUACCGGAGAAUGUUAUCACGGGAGACACACGGCGGGUGCUAACGUCCGUCGUGAAGAGGGAAACAACCCAGACCGCCAGCUAAGGUCCCAAAGUCAUGGUUAAGUGGGAAACGAUGUGGGAAGGCCCAGACAGCCAGGAUGUUGGCUUAGAAGCAGCCAUCAUUUAAAGAAAGCGUAAUAGCUCACUGGUCGAGUCGGCCUGCGCGGAAGAUGUAACGGGGCUAAACCAUGCACCGAAGCUGCGGCAGCGACGCUUAUGCGUUGUUGGGUAGGGGAGCGUUCUGUAAGCCUGCGAAGGUGUGCUGUGAGGCAUGCUGGAGGUAUCAGAAGUGCGAAUGCUGACAUAAGUAACGAUAAAGCGGGUGAAAAGCCCGCUCGCCGGAAGACCAAGGGUUCCUGUCCAACGUUAAUCGGGGCAGGGUGAGUCGACCCCUAAGGCGAGGCCGAAAGGCGUAGUCGAUGGGAAACAGGUUAAUAUUCCUGUACUUGGUGUUACUGCGAAGGGGGGACGGAGAAGGCUAUGUUGGCCGGGCGACGGUUGUCCCGGUUUAAGCGUGUAGGCUGGUUUUCCAGGCAAAUCCGGAAAAUCAAGGCUGAGGCGUGAUGACGAGGCACUACGGUGCUGAAGCAACAAAUGCCCUGCUUCCAGGAAAAGCCUCUAAGCAUCAGGUAACAUCAAAUCGUACCCCAAACCGACACAGGUGGUCAGGUAGAGAAUACCAAGGCGCUUGAGAGAACUCGGGUGAAGGAACUAGGCAAAAUGGUGCCGUAACUUCGGGAGAAGGCACGCUGAUAUGUAGGUGAAGUCCCUCGCGGAUGGAGCUGAAAUCAGUCGAAGAUACCAGCUGGCUGCAACUGUUUAUUAAAAACACAGCACUGUGCAAACACGAAAGUGGACGUAUACGGUGUGACGCCUGCCCGGUGCCGGAAGGUUAAUUGAUGGGGUCAGCGCAAGCGAAGCUCUUGAUCGAAGCCCCGGUAAACGGCGGCCGUAACUAUAACGGUCCUAAGGUAGCGAAAUUCCUUGUCGGGUAAGUUCCGACCUGCACGAAUGGCGUAAUGAUGGCCAGGCUGUCUCCACCCGAGACUCAGUGAAAUUGAACUCGCUGUGAAGAUGCAGUGUACCCGCGGCAAGACGGAAAGACCCCGUGAACCUUUACUAUAGCUUGACACUGAACAUUGAGCCUUGAUGUGUAGGAUAGGUGGGAGGCUUUGAAGUGUGGACGCCAGUCUGCAUGGAGCCGACCUUGAAAUACCACCCUUUAAUGUUUGAUGUUCUAACGUUGACCCGUAAUCCGGGUUGCGGACAGUGUCUGGUGGGUAGUUUGACUGGGGCGGUCUCCUCCUAAAGAGUAACGGAGGAGCACGAAGGUUGGCUAAUCCUGGUCGGACAUCAGGAGGUUAGUGCAAUGGCAUAAGCCAGCUUGACUGCGAGCGUGACGGCGCGAGCAGGUGCGAAAGCAGGUCAUAGUGAUCCGGUGGUUCUGAAUGGAAGGGCCAUCGCUCAACGGAUAAAAGGUACUCCGGGGAUAACAGGCUGAUACCGCCCAAGAGUUCAUAUCGACGGCGGUGUUUGGCACCUCGAUGUCGGCUCAUCACAUCCUGGGGCUGAAGUAGGUCCCAAGGGUAUGGCUGUUCGCCAUUUAAAGUGGUACGCGAGCUGGGUUUAGAACGUCGUGAGACAGUUCGGUCCCUAUCUGCCGUGGGCGCUGGAGAACUGAGGGGGGCUGCUCCUAGUACGAGAGGACCGGAGUGGACGCAUCACUGGUGUUCGGGUUGUCAUGCCAAUGGCACUGCCCGGUAGCUAAAUGCGGAAGAGAUAAGUGCUGAAAGCAUCUAAGCACGAAACUUGCCCCGAGAUGAGUUCUCCCUGACUCCUUGAGAGUCCUGAAGGAACGUUGAAGACGACGACGUUGAUAGGCCGGGUGUGUAAGCGCAGCGAUGCGUUGAGCUAACCGGUACUAAUGAACCGUGAGGCUUAACCUU